ensembl:lncRNA
CUGAACUUCAGAUUCCAUUGCUUCUGCUGUCCCCCUCCCAAGAGCUGGGAUUCUGGGGGUGUACCACCAUACCUGGCUUAUGCAGUGUUGGACAUUUCAGAGAAGGCCUGAAUUCCAGAUUUUUUUAUGUGAAAGUUCUCAGUUUCAAAAUAUUGGAUCAAAACCAAAAACUUCUUAACACUGGCAGAAGCCAGAGAAGUUACAUGUGACGAAUGUGGUCUAAGCCCUGCUGAUUAUGGCAGCCUUGUGAUGGGACCCACUACUUGACCCAACCAACCAACCCUCCACCCAUCCAGCACUUCAUCUAUGGUCCACAGGAUAUGAUGGGCAGCCAAUUGUCCCAAUACUAAAUGUGGAGAAAUCCUGUUUCAAAUGCCAACUGGAUCAUAUGAUUGUGAGAGAUAAAGAGAAGAUCCCAGAAGCCUUGAGAAACCAAAAAAGUCAUGCAACAGAGGAUCAAGACUUGGGAUGGCACUGGGCUACUUCUCAUCAACCCAGAAUGCCACAUGCCAAUAAGAACUGCCUUCAGAAUGUGGAGUGGAGAUGAUUUCCAAACGAGAUUUAUACAGCCAGCCAAACUGUCAAUCAAGGAUCCAAAAACUGAACUUCCCAUAUGCAGUUUUCAAGGAAGCUACUGGCAUGUAUAUUAUAACUAAAAGAAGACAGUAAACCAAGCAGGAGGGUGGCUUCGGAUCCAAGCACCAAAGAAGAAGUGUGGAAGAGAGGUUAAGGGGUUUCCUGGGAUAAUGGUGGAGGGAAAUUUCAGAAUAUCUACCAUGCAGACAUCUAGGAGGGUGUUUGGUUUGGGUCAGGGCAAGAGGACAAAGGGUGUUAAGAAAAAAAAAUAGAAGUGAUAGGUUACCAAAAGAAUCUGAUUGCAUUACUAGAGAUUUUAAAACUGUGUACAUGUUUGUGGGAAGAAUUAGUAGUGUGGCUUUAAAAUGUAAGUAAAAAACAGAGACAAUUACCAACACCAGGGAAAACAAAAAGCUGCACAGUUCAGCAACUACACCUGUAACCCCUCAUACAAUGGUUAAUAUUUAUGUUAUCGACUUGACAAGGUCUGUAAUUGCCCAGGACAUAAGCCUCUGUGCACACCUGUGAAAUGUUAUCUACAUUAACUUCUGGGCAUGUUAUAAGGGAUUUUCUUGGUUAGGCUAGUUGAGGUGGGAAAAUCUGGCCUAAAUGUGGGUGGUACCAUUCCCUGGGCUGAGAUCCUGGACUUUAGACCCGGAGAAAGGGAGUUGAACACCAAGCAUUCAUUUCUUUGCUUCCUGACUGUGGGUGACCACCUCACUGUGGUGGUGAUACCCUUGAACUGUGAGUCAAGACAAACCUUCCUCCCUUAAGUUGCUUUGGUCACUAGGAAAGGAAACCAAGAGACUUUGUUUAGCUGUCAGUAACGUGUAGGUGAUCAGGUAGCAGUGGACUCUGAGUUAGCAUCUGCAGUGGGUUACGUAGGGAGGGGAAGUGUGUGUCUCUGUGUGGUGGCUUCUGUGGAACUAGCAGUCUUCCAUAAGAGGAGGCCAACAAAUUGUAUGCGAAAUCAGAAAAAGAUGGCAUUUAGAAAUAUGAAAGGAAAUGUCAGAGGAACGAUGAGAGGACUUGAAGUCAUCUCCUCCAAGGAGAGGUGGGGCUGUUGCUUUUCAUUAUUGGUUUCAUGCAACGAUUUGACUUUUACAGUCUCAUAACAAACUAUUGAUCAAAAUGGAAAUUUAAUUUAAAAAUGCCCGUGUAUUUAUGACCUAACUCAGCUUUUGAACCUCUCCUGCUGCUCAGGAAAUGAGCUGACCAGAAUUUUGAAGAUCAAGGGUACAGUCUCUCAGCUCUGUAAAUUGCUAGCUGUGUGGCCCCAAGGCCAGUUGCUCAGUCUCUCAGAGUCUCCAUUUAUUCAACUGAGAAGCAGGGGUAAUUCCAGUAUCUUCUUCAUAGGGCAACUCAAAAGAUGACAUAAGCUCAUGCCUGGACCUGAUACUCAGGAUUGUACACUAAAG